rnacentral:rRNA from 1 species
CUUAUCUAAUCAGCGAAGGAAUCGAGAUCUUUCUGGAAAACAAUGGAAGGAAACUGGCAGCGAUGGCUACUGCUAGCAUCGUCCACCUCCAACUCCUCUCUGUCGCAGCAGCCUCACCGCCCACUGCCACACCACCUCCACCUCCCCCUCUUCCCCGUCAUCUCCUCUUCUCCUACCCCGUCUCCUGCGACGCCGACAUCGGCAAGUACGCCGCGGGCGCCGUCCGUUGGUCGAGUCCACAACGCCUCUCCUGCGUACUCCUCAGAUUCAGCCGAUCCGCCGCCCACCACGUCUCCCUCCUCACCAUGGUCUCCUCCUCCCUCUAGCCCGUCUUCUCCGAGGACGGCAUCGGCAUGUACGCCGCUGGCGGCGUCUGCGCCUCAAGUUCGUGAGGACUCUUAUGCUUCGUCAUUUGAGGCUCUGAUGCAGGAGACCUGCCGCCCACCACGUCCCCUUCCUCCUCGCCAACCUCUUUUCAUAUGUGAUGGGCAUUCAAAAUUUGUCAUUCCAACUUCCCCCGUCUGGAUGUUGUAUUAGUAAUAGUUGGAGAAGUCUAACUGGAUUAUACUCAUUGUAGAUAGUUGUUUUCUUUAUCUAAUGCCUAUCAUACCGACUCCUACAUUCCUAGAUUAAUUUUAUCUAUCAUGUGACAUGUCUAUAGUUUGAAUGCAUUCUUUAGUAGCCAUGUAUGCCUUAUUUUUCCCACAUAUGUAUCACAUGUCUCAAGAAGAAGAUGAGUACAUCACCUUGGCUGGGACAGGUAUUGCCAGUGCCAUGGAUGCCUUAUUUCCUUAAACCGGUAUUUUCACACAGGCAAAAGGAAGGCCAGUCCAACUCUGUUGCAAAUUUUACAAACAACAUAAUCUACAAAGAAGUUCUCACUGUGCAGUCCAAGGUAUGAACCACUCAACUACAAGUUGGUGGCUGUAGAAAAUCCGGUCUAUCUAACUAGGGCCAGCAAUCUGAAUUUGGUUUCUCUCUACUAUUCUUAAGUUUGUGCGGAGGACUUUCAGAAAAGUAAGUUACAUGCUUUAGCGUCCAUGAUAUUCAGGUCGCACUCCACUUUUUCUUUUGCAGAAACGUGGUUGGUGUCAGAAAGUUACAAGAGGUCCAAUACCAAUUUUUUCUGUAUGUAUGUACAUGAACACUUGCCCCUUCUAUAUACACAUGAUUCAAAAGCAUCCUUUCUUGUACAUUUUGUUUUUUUAGUGACUGCUAAUAGAAUAGCUUGUUUUGUUUUCUACAGCCGUUCUAGGGAAAUGAACAAUUUUAUUGCAAUUGUUGUUCUAAGGUUGGAAGUGAAAAUAUGUAUUGGCGAUCACUGUUUGAGCUGGUGCUGUGGGCGAUCUGGUAUGAGCGCAGUCGUUACAUUUUCACAAUCCAGAGUAAUCGGCUUUCUCUCCCGUUUUCCAUGUGUUUUGUAUGGUAUUUAUUCCUCUAUCAAGGAAAUCAACAAUUCUUUUGUUGGAGUUUAAAAUCUCUGUUGGAGCUUAGUUUUUGCCCGGCUUAGAUAUGCAUAUUGUAUGAAUAAACUUCAGAUGAGAGGCAUUCAUAUUGGAGUCAAUUAUUCACGUACAUGCACCAUUUUUUUAACCAACAUGCAACAGUUUGAAGUUCUGCAUACUCUGUUAUGUAUGCAAGUUUUGUAUCAAGUGUUUUUAAUUGUGUUUUACAUAUAAGUUCUCGUCGCCAGAGGCCAGUUAAUAAUGACUGAUCACACUUCUAGUAAUGCAGAUUGCUAUGCUUGAAGAUAAUAUUAUGUGGUUUGAUUAUUAUUUUCUUCAAUUCUUGCAAAGUGGUUUCAAAUGUCACAACAUCGAUUUAUUUGAGCCGUUAUUUAUCUUUAUUUUUUUCUGAUGGGAGGCAUGUUGCAUCAGACAUGGAGAUAUGAUAGAUCCGCGGCAUGGGCAGGCGGUGGAUUAUGAUAUGUGCUAUAACAGAUUGAGCCCAUCAGACUAAGUCGAAGGAUGAGUUAGUAGUCGCUACACUUCCAUUGCACAAAUUCCUGGGGACAAACAUCGAUAUUAUCGCAUUUUAUUCUUCCAUUAUGUGUAUUAAUGUUAGGUUAAAUUGGGGUGCUUGAUGUGUUACCAUUUCUGAUAAAGCUGGUCAGUGUCGUCAUAGUUGUGGAUGGAUUUUCUAUCUAUCGCAUGCUCUCUGUCCCCUCGAUUUAAGAUAGAGUGAGCAAUGAACAGGUCUUCUAGGAAGGUGAAGUUUGAGAAGAAAAUGUAUGGCUUGAAGGACGGGGUUUAUUGGUUGGAAACAUUAUGUUUGAUUGUGCUUAAUGUGUACCUAUCAACGUGUAAGAUCGCUUUGAUGGAUGUAUUGAUACUUUUUAUACUAUUUCAUGGCAAUCUACAUG